rnacentral:ncRNA from 4 species
CAGUGCAUUGGUAGCUGUUAAGCCAAGGGCGGUAGCGU